rnacentral:rRNA from 1 species
ACACAUGCAGUCGAACGAUGAUGCCCAGCUUGCUGGGUGGAUUAGUGGCGAACGGGUGAGUAACACGUGAGUAACCUGCCCCUGACUCUGGGAUAAGCGUUGGAAACGACGUCUAAUACUGGAUAUGAUCACUGGCCGCAUGGUCUGGUGAUGGAAAGAUUUUUUGGUUGGGGAUGGACUCGCGGCCUAUCAGCUUGUUGGUGAGGUAAUGGCUCACCAAGGCGACGACGGGUAGCCGGCCUGAGAGGGUGACCGGCCACACUGGGACUGAGACACGGCCCAGACUCCUACGGGAGGCAGCAGUGGGGAAUAUUGCACAAUGGGCGAAAGCCUGAUGCAGCAACGCCGCGUGAGGGAUGACGGCCUUCGGGUUGUAAACCUCUUUUAGUAGGGAAGAAGCGAAAGUGACGGUACCUGCAGAAAAAGCACCGGCUAACUACGUGCCAGCAGCCGCGGUAAUACGUAGGGUGCAAGCGUUGUCCGGAAUUAUUGGGCGUAAAGAGCUCGUAGGCGGUUUGUCGCGUCUGCUGUGAAAUCCCGAGGCUCAACCUCGGGCUUGCAGUGGGUACGGGCAGACUAGAGUGCGGUAGGGGAGAUUGGAAUUCCUGGUGUAGCGGUGGAAUGCGCAGAUAUCAGGAGGAACACCGAUGGCGAAGGCAGAUCUCUGGGCCGUAACUGACGCUGAGGAGCGAAAGCAUGGGGAGCGAACAGGAUUAGAUACCCUGGUAGUCCAUGCCGUAAACGUUGGGCGCUAGAUGUAGGGACCUUUCCACGGUUUCUGUGUCGUAGCUAACGCAUUAAGCGCCCCGCCUGGGGAGUACGGCCGCAAGGCUAAAACUCAGAGGAAUUGACGGGGGCCCGCACAAGCGGCGGAGCAUGCGGAUUAAUUCGAUGCAACGCGAAGAACCUUACCAAGGCUUGACAUACACCGGAAACGGCCAGAGAUGGUCGCCCCUUGNGGUCGGUGUACAGUGGUGCAUGGU